CUUUUGCCGGCGUCGGACGUUGACUUGCGACAGUGCGGACUUGCGUUGUUUCGUGUGCUGCGCGCUCUUCAUUUUCGACCGAGCAAUCCGAGUUUUUAGUGUUUUCCUUGUGACCGGGUAACCGUGCAAAACAAUAGAGCUUCAGAACGAACUCGCUGCAGUGCUCUUGCCCGCGAACAGUGCGAACGAAGCGAAAGUGUUUCGAAAAGACGGUGCCGCGCCGACGGAACAGUAGUGAACAUCCGCCGCGGCAGCAUGGUAUCCUUCGCGAUCCACCACCAUUCAGCAGUGGCCGGAACCGUGGACAGUGCAGUGGCAGCAGUCACAACGUGUCAGACAUCGACGGAACCGGAAGCGGCUGAGGAGUCGCAGCAGUAGACAGAGAGAGACAGAGAGAGCACCAGGCAAGGCAAACAAAAAAAGACGUGCCAGGCGUACUAACAACCCGGCGAGCCGAGAGAACGGAAAUCAUUCGAUCUUUCCUCGAUGGAAAGUCCCUGACUGAUGCACGACAGUGAACGGGUCACACUGUAGGCCGCCCCACGGAAAGCUCCACAGGG